GCCAGACUCCUACGGGAGGCAGCAGUGAGGAAUAUUGGUCAAUGGUCGGGAGACUGAACCAGCCAAGUCGCGUGAGGGAGGACGGCCCUACGGGUUGUAAACCUCUUUUGCCGGGGAGCAACGGGCGUCACGUGUGGCGCCACUGAGAGUACCCGGAGAAAAAGCAUCGGCUAACUCCGUGCCAGCAGCCGCGGUAAUACGGAGGAUGCGAGCGUUAUCCGGAUUUAUUGGGUUUAAAGGGUGCGUAGGCGGAGCUUUAAUACAGGGGUCAAUGGGGGGGCCGCACCCCCUCCCCGCCAUUGAAACUGGCGCUCUUGAGUGGAAGAGAGGUAUGCGGAAUGCGUGGUGUAGCGGUGAAAUGCAUAGAUAUCACGCAGAACCCCGAUUGCGAAGGCAGCAUGCCGGCUUCCGACUGACGCUGAAGCACGAAAGCGUGGGGAUCGAACAGGAUUAGAUACCCCAGUACAU
rnacentral:rRNA from 1 species